rnacentral:rRNA from 1 species
UACGGAGGGUGCAAGCGUUGUCCGGAUUUAUUGGGUUUAAAGGGUGCGUAGGCGGCCUUUUAAGUCAGUGGUGAAAGCCCGGGGCUCAACUCCGGAACUGCCAUUGAUACUGGAAGGCUUGAGUACAGACGAGGUAGGCGGAAUUUAUGGUGUAGCGGUGAAAUGCAUAGAUACCAUAAAGAACACCGAUAGCGAAGGCAGCUUACUAGGCUGUAACUGACGCUGAUGCACGAAAGCGUGGGGAGCGAACAGG